CCCCUGACAUCACAGAGGGGGCAGGGCAGCGAUGCUGAUAGGGCUGAGGGGGAGUGGAAGGGCCCCAAGCGUGAGGUGUGGGGCUGUGAACCCACCCAAGACCCUUUCCUGCCUACACAUCCAGGCCUGGCUUUGUGUUCUGCCCUCGCUCCUGGGUUUUCCUUUGGGGGUGUCCAUGCUUGCUGGGAUGCAACAGCGAGCAAAACAGACAAACUCCAACCCUCAGGGAUGCAUAGCACCAUGGAAGGAGACAGACCAAGUCAGGUAAGGCAUGUGCUGCAGAGGAUAAAGCAGAGCAUGGAGUGGGGGCUCAUUCUCUGCUUAUGUGAGGUAAGCUGGUGGCCUCAGGCUUACAUAGCAUCUGAGCAGUUUGGGGAGGAAGUGAGGGAAGGCAUGCAAGCCUGCAGCAGCAGCAAGUGCAAAGGUCCUGGGGUCAGGCAGGCCUGGCCAAUCAGAAACACCAAGAGGCUGCACACUUGGGAAACCUGAGGACCCAAGUGGACAGGUCUGGCUGAGGCUGAGAUCCCCAGGGCAUGACAAGCAGCCAGGGGGCUGAAAAGCCAUCUGUGUGCCUUGGAGAAGUAGCCUGCUGGGGCCACAGUAACUUCAUGGGGCAAGCCUGGGAGGUAGGACAGGAGGGAGGCCUGUGCUCAGGCCAGAGAAAGGUAUGGGAGCAGUGAUGAGGCCCAGGUGGCCUGGGCCACUGGGGCAAGGAGCAGGGACUCCCGAGGGAGGGCUGGGUGCUAUGGGACUGCAGGACACAGUGGGAGGGUUGUGGGCAUGGCCAGCCUGCAGGGUUAGGACUGCCAGAGGCCGAGCCCUGGGUGGUGAGCUGUAGCCAUGGGGAGUUAGUGGAGCCUUGCACUGGGCUGUGUCACUGCGGCCCCGGGAGCGGUGUUGGGAGUAUCAAGGACCCAGCUGCAGGGAGACAUGCAGGAAGACAACCUGUGACAACCAGGCCACAGUGGAGCAGCGGGUGCAGGAGCCAGGAGUGCAUGGACAGCCAGGGUGGCCACCUGGGGCGGGCAAGAGCUGGGGUCAGCAAGGAGCCGGGCCCCCAGUGAGGGCUGCUGAAAAGCCUGGGGUCGGUGGUGCCCCUCCCUUCCAGGACAUGGCUUCUGUCCCCCUCCUCCUCAGCCAGAGGAUCUGGCCUCUUGGGGCCAUGGUUUCAUUGUAACACGAGGGGGACGACAGUCGCAAUGCGUGGCUGGUGACCACCAUGUGGUAGUGCCCACGUCCAGAGGGCUUCCAAGGGCCCCACAUGCGAGCCUGGCACCCAGGGCACAUGAUUCACGUGCAACACGCUUCACCCGCCCGAAGGGCACCAUUCAACGGUCAGAACAGAGUCUGCAGCCAUCAUGACCUAUGGAAGGACGAUUCCAUCAGCCCAGAAAGACGCCCCGCACCCAUUAGCAGGGCCUCGCCAUGCCCACCACCCACCCACACCCACAUGAGGUGUGGUCUCUGGGGUCCGGCUUCCAUCAUGUACAUGGUUGUGGGCUUCGUUCACUGAGCAGCACGUCGGCACCCGGCUCCUCUGGAGGCCGGACAGGGUGCAGGACAUUUGCCUCGUGUCCCUUCUGUGGCUGACCUCUGCUGCUGCCGUGGACCAGGGCCUCAACUAUGGGACAGCCCAGCGUUCAUGUUAGCCUCAAGUCCCGUCCCCAGGGAAUGACGAGCAACCGCACCUAACACUUCAUUUUAACUUCUGCUGUUGUCAACGGUGAGGCCUUCCCAGGGGCAGGGAAUGGAGAUGUUGUCCUGGGUUUCCCACCAGGAUCCAUUACACCUUCCAAGAACUCUAACCACUAGCCCCUUACUAUCCCUGCAAUCCCCUAACCCCCAGCAAUCCCCAGGCCUAGCCCCUGGAAGGUGUGGUGGGAAGGGCAGGACCACAGUGGGCCUGGCUCGGAGGGCAUGGGGUGCUCCGGGAGUCCUCCCUGGGGGCAGGGGCAGGGGCAGGAGCCCAAGGGGAGGAAAUCUGCCCAGGGGCAAGAACAGGUGGUGUCAAAGGAGAAAUCCCAGAAUUAAAGCAGCUCUGUAAAAGCUCAUGUAAGAGCCAAAGGAUGCAAUUUGCCAUGUUUACAAGAAGGAAACUAGGGCUUCCUUUCGAUCUGAGGAACCAAGUGAGGGGCCCUGGCCGCUCCUCCCGACCAUCCUCCACACACCAUGACCUGUGAUUCUAGUCCCUUCUCUCCCAACAGGCCAGGGGGCCAUGGAGCCAGGAACGGUAAGCAGCUCUGGGGGCCAUGCCCAUCUGUUCUUACACAACCUCAACGUUCCCUGUACAAAAAGGCCUCAGGGGCGCCCCAGAGUGUCUCACGACUGCUGGCAUGGGGCUCCCAGACACGACACAGAUGCCAUCACACACCCCCGCCCCCACCCGGAUCACAGCCGCGGCAACGGUUCACUCUACCGGGGCUGGGCCAGAGCCUUGCCAGCAGCCCCCAGGGAUGGACGGGACAGCCGCCUGGGCUGAGCACUACGUGCCCCGAAGCAGUGGAGGGACAGAGGCAGGACCGAAGAGCAUCAUCGUGGCUGGUGGGUGUAGGCUGCCAACGGCCUCCUUUCUGAGCAGCCCAUUCCCCGCAGAGUCCACAACACGGCCAUGAACGCUCCGCAACAGAGGAAAGGCCGUGCAUGGCAUACGGAUCUCAACUCCCCUUUCUGAAAAACUGUAAGUGCCAGAUCAUCAAGGUCAUUUCUAAAACACCUUCUAGGAAUUUGGCAAAGUUCAUCAAAAUUGAGGCACAUUUCCAGAACUUAAGGCUAUGGCUGUGACACCUGUGUGCACACAGGACAUUCACUGCCCCUCCCAGGCGCCUACUAGUAACAGGGCACUGGAACCAACUGGCACAACCGGGCGGAGACAAGGGGUGAGUAUUCACGUGGCUGCCAAGCGCGGGGGCAACGUGCACGGCCCUGCACGGGAAGAUACUCGGGACUCUAAGGACUGUAAUCCAUGUCCUCAAUCUCCCUCGGAUUUUUCAUGGUGUGUCACCGCGGCCCAUUAGGCUUCCCACAGGGAUUUAAGGUGGUGGCAUGUACAGCAGUACAUGGUCCGCGCACUCUCGUGUGUGGGCAACAAAACCACGAGUUCGCAUUUGCUCGAAAGAACAAGGGAGGAGACGCGAGGCCCGUCACCUGGUUACCAUCAUGGAGGCAGGGAUACACGCUCCUUCCCUAUGUGCGCACGUUCUGUGAAGACUAGCAAGAAAAACACCUAAACUGCUUAACCCCAGUAUGAUAAACAAUUUGAACCAGAGGCCGAGGUAGCUCACAUCCUAUUCACAGUGCCUCAACACAAGGGACUUCCUGCCUCAUGCCAGUCGGAAAUACUGGAAACCCUCCCAGCCCUGGACACCCGCAGCUCGGGGUGCUUGGUGGCCGGGCACCCGGCACACAGACACUCUGUGCAGCAGCUGCCUCACCUGCCACCCAGCGUCCAGGACACGCGGCCAGGACACAUGUGCCGUCACUGGUCUCCCAAAAAUCUGGGAGAAAGAAGACAAGAUAGUGGACACCAAGUCACCCGACAAAGUUUUCUCAGAGCCCAGCGACUGUGCAGUGUACCACUCUGCUGCUCAGGGCACGGCUGGACACCCUGAGAGGGAAGGAGCAUCACCCGGGAACAUUUUGCCUGCUGCUGGUGUGGCCACGUCUGCUCGGAACCCGGGCUCCAGCCGCUGACCCGGACAGAGGAGCCAUGGGAGGGUCUGUUCUCCCCCAGGGCAGUGAAUGCACACCACUGAGCCGCUGUUCUCCUGAAGCGGACAAGCGCGGACACCAGCAGUUGACACGAUGCUGUGCAGGGGACUUCCUGGGACUGCUGGCUGACACUCAAGUCCCCCUCACCAAGUCAGGGUCCCUACCGCGCUUGGGUCCACUGCACGUCGGUGACAGCAACACUGCUUCAACAGAAGGCUUUGGAAGGUAUUAAAGUAUCUUUGCAGGUGUAAGUCAGAUUACAUGGUCAUACCAAAAAGGAGGUCAGUCUAGAGCACACGGGGGCUACAGUGGCAGAUUACAAAGCAGGUGUCUAGAAAAGCAUCCGGGGACCUUCACGCCUCUGCUUCCCAAAAGCAAAGGAGCCAAACUUGCUAUUUGUGGGACCAGGAAGGUUAGUGGGAAGGGAAUUCUAGCAUAGAGGGUCAGCCCAGAUACAACAAUCAUGGAUGUGCAUUCAAAACAGGGUAUUUACAAGAAACAUGUAUAUAUAAUUAUUUAUAUAUAUCUCAAUAAAAGCCAGAAACACCAGGUUUGGUAGUCACUGC